UACGGGGGGGGUAAGCGUUGUUCGGAAUUACUGGGCGUAAAGAGCUCGUAGGCGGCCUGUCGCGUCGGUUGUGAAAGCCCGGGGCUCAACCCCGGGUCUGCAGUCGAUACGGGCAGGCUAGAGUUCGGUAGGGGAGAUCGGAAUUCCUGGUGUAGCGGUGAAAUGCGCAGAUAUCAGGAGGAACACCGGUGGCGAAGGCGGAUCUCUGGGCCGAUACUGACGCUGAGGAGCGAAAGCGUGGGGAGCGAACAGG
rnacentral:rRNA from 1 species